AUCCUGUCUACCGACAGUGGCCAAUGCCAAGUGCCCCAGAGGGAGUGAACCUAACAGGAACAGACAUGGCUUCGGAGUGUGCUAGUGUGGAUGUAAAAUUCCAGCAUAUACUGCCCCCAUUGAAUGGAACAGGACUAUCACUACUGCUUCAAUAAGAACGGGAUUGUGCCCUCUGUCAGUGUGCUCUUAAAAAAGACUCUGCCCUUGAAUUAUGGAGCUGAUCACAGGCCAACACAAAUCCAUUUCCAGAAGAAAAAGGCAACAGAAUGGAGCCAACAUUAAAACACAAAUUUAAAAUCAAAAGACCAAGAUUAGUCUUGAAUUCAAUGUGAGCGUCAUAUGUCAAAAUGUGAAAUAAGUGAGUAAAGCCUGACACCCAUAUUUUAAAAAUAUCAGUGUGUGGUAAGAUCUCCCAGAUGUAGAUUUGAUUAGGGCCAAAGUUAGUCUGGUUAAAACCUGCAGCUAAGAAGAUUUUUUUUUCUCCUCAACAAGCUGUCAUGAUUGAAAUAUUGCAAGGAGAGGGAUGGGUUGAAUUUCCCCAAAUUGAAAUUGUACCCCUGCUAAUGAUGUGUAGUUAUGCU